rnacentral:misc_RNA from 1 species
AAGUCGUAACAAGGUUUCCGUAGGUGAACCUGCGGAAGGAUCAUUAUUGAAUUAACAAAAAAGAUCACAGACUGUUGCUGGCUCAGCUUUGAGCAAAACAUGUGCACGUCUUGAUUGACUUGUUUUCAAAUUCUUAUCACCUGUGCACCUCUUGUAGACUGUUUUUGGAUCCAUCAAAAGUGGAAACACUGGUUGAUUUGCUGUGCUUGAUUGGUUUUCUUUGUAAAAAUCUUUUAGGCCAGCUGUUCUUGUUGGGUCCGUUGGGUUUUAUUAUCCUUCAACAACAGUCUAUUUGCAUUAUACAACCCAACCUGAAUGUAAUAGAAUGUGUAAUAUUGAAAAAACAAAAUUUACAACUUUCAACAAUGGAUCUCUUGGCUCUU